UACAGAGGUCUCAAGCGUUGUUCGGAUUCAUUGGGCGUAAAGGGUGCGUAGGCGGCGCGGUAAGUCGGGUGUGAAAUCUCGGAGCUUAACUCCGAAACUGCAUUCGAUACUGCCGUGCUUGAGGACUGGAGAGGAGACUGGAAUUUACGGUGUAGCGGUGAAAUGCGUAGAUAUCGUAAGGAAGACCAGUGGCGAAGGCGGGUCUCUGGACAGUUCCUGACGCUGAGGCACGACAGCGUGGGGAGCAAACAGG
rnacentral:rRNA from 1 species